rnacentral:rRNA from 2 species
GAUGAACGCUAGCGAUAGGCCUAACACAUGCAAGUCGAGGGGCAUCACAUGAGGUAGCAAUACUUCUGGUGGCGACCGGCGCACGGGUGAGUAACACGUAUGCAACCUGCCUUCAACAAGGGCAUAACCCGUUGAAAGACGGACUAAUUCCCUAUGACACAGGGGUCCCGCAUGGGGAUAUUUGUUAAAGAUAUUAUCGGUUGAAGAUGGGCAUGCGUUCCAUUAGCUUGUUGGCGGGGUAACGGCCCACCAAGGCAACGAUGGAUAGGGGAACUGAGAGGUUUAUCCCCCACACUGGUACUGAGACACGGACCAG